AGCGUACACGGUGGAUGCCCUGGCAGUCAGAGGCGAUGAAGGACGUGCUAAUCUGCGAUAAGCGUCGGUAAGGUGAUAUGAACCGUUAUAACCGGCGAUUUCCGAAUGGGGAAACCCAGUGUGAUUCGUCACACUAUCAUUAACUGAAUCCAUAGGUUAAUGAGGCGAACCGGGGGAACUGAAACAUCUAAGUACCCCGAGGAAAAGAAAUCAACCGAGAUUCCCCCAGUAGCGGCGAGCGAACGGGGAGCAGCCCAGAGCCUGAAUCAGUGUGUGUGUUAGUGGAAGCGUCUGGAAAGGCGCGCGAUACAGGGUGACAGCCCCGUACACAAAAAUGCACAUACUGUGAGCUCGAUGAGUAGGGCGGGACACGUGGUAUCCUGUCUGAAUAUGGGGGGACCAUCCUCCAAGGCUAAAUACUCCUGACUGACCGAUAGUGAACCAGUACCGUGAGGGAAAGGCGAAAAGAACCCCGGCGAGGGGAGUGAAAAAGAACCUGAAACCGUGUACGUACAAGCAGUGGGAGCACGCUUAGGCGUGUGACUGCGUACCUUUUGUAUAAUGGGUCAGCGACUUAUAUUCUGUAGCAAGGUUAACCGAAUAGGGGAGCCGAAGGGAAACCGAGUCUUAACUGGGCGUUAAGUUGCAGGGUAUAGACCCGAAACCCGGUGAUCUAGCCAUGGGCAGGUUGAAGGUUGGGUAACACUAACUGGAGGACCGAACCGACUAAUGUUGAAAAAUUAGCGGAUGACUUGUGGCUGGGGGUGAAAGGCCAAUCAAACCGGGAGAUAGCUGGUUCUCCCCGAAAGCUAUUUAGGUAGCGCCUCGUGAAUUCAUCUCCGGGGGUAGAGCACUGUUUCGGCAAGGGGGUCAUCCCGACUUACCAACCCGAUGCAAACUGCGAAUACCGGAGAAUGUUAUCACGGGAGACACACGGCGGGUGCUAACGUCCGUCGUGAAGAGGGAAACAACCCAGACCGCCAGCUAAGGUCCCAAAGUCAUGGUUAAGUGGGAAACGAUGUGGGAAGGCCCAGACAGCCAGGAUGUUGGCUUAGAAGCAGCCAUCAUUUAAAGAAAGCGUAAUAGCUCACUGGUCGAGUCGGCCUGCGCGGAAGAUGUAACGGGGCUAAACCAUGCACCGAAGCUGCGGCAGCGACGCUGAUGCGUUGUUGGGUAGGGGAGCGUUCUGUAAGCCUGUGAAGGUGUGCUGUGAGGCAUGCUGGAGGUAUCAGAAGUGCGAAUGCUGACAUAAGUAACGAUAAAGCGGGUGAAAAGCCCGCUCGCCGGAAGACCAAGGGUUCCUGUCCAACGUUAAUCGGGGCAGGGUGAGUCGACCCCUAAGGCGAGGCCGAAAGGCGUAGUCGAUGGGAAACAGGUUAAUAUUCCUGUACUUGGUGUUACUGCGAAGGGGGGACGGAGAAGGCUAUGUUGGCCGGGCGACGGUUGUCCCGGUUUAAGCGUGUAGGCUGGUUUUCCAGGCAAAUCCGGAAAAUCAAGGCUGAGGCGUGAUGACGAGGCACUACGGUGCUGAAGCAACAAAUGCCCUGCUUCCAGGAAAAGCCUCUAAGCAUCAGGUAACAUCAAAUCGUACCCCAAACCGACACAGGUGGUCAGGUAGAGAAUACCAAGGCGCUUGAGAGAACUCGGGUGAAGGAACUAGGCAAAAUGGUGCCGUAACUUCGGGAGAAGGCACGCUGAUAUGUAGGUGAAGUCCCUCGCGGAUGGAGCUGAAAUCAGUCGAAGAUACCAGCUGGCUGCAACUGUUUAUUAAAAACACAGCACUGUGCAAACACGAAAGUGGACGUAUACGGUGUGACGCCUGCCCGGUGCCGGAAGGUUAAUUGAUGGGGUCAGCGCAAGCGAAGCUCUUGAUCGAAGCCCCGGUAAACGGCGGCCGUAACUAUAACGGUCCUAAGGUAGCGAAAUUCCUUGUCGGGUAAGUUCCGACCUGCACGAAUGGCGUAAUGAUGGCCAGGCUGUCUCCACCCGAGACUCAGUGAAAUUGAACUCGCUGUGAAGAUGCAGUGUACCCGCGGCAAGACGGAAAGACCCCGUGAACCUUUACUAUAGCUUGACACUGAACAUUGAGCCUUGAUGUGUAGGAUAGGUGGGAGGCUUUGAAGUGUGGACGCCAGUCUGCAUGGAGCCGGCCUUGAAAUACCACCCUUUAAUGUUUGAUGUUCUAACGUUGACCCGUUAUCCGGGUUGCGGACAGUGUCUGGUGGGUAGUUUGACUGGGGCGGUCUCCUCCUAAAGAGUAACGGAGGAGCACGAAGGUUGGCUAAUCCUGGUCGGACAUCAGGAGGUUAGUGCAAUGGCAUAAGCCAGCUUGACUGCGAGCGUGACGGCGCGAGCAGGUGCGAAAGCAGGUCAUAGUGAUCCGGUGGUUCUGAAUGGAAGGGCCAUCGCUCAACGGAUAAAAGGUACUCCGGGGAUAACAGGCUGAUACCGCCCAAGAGUUCAUAUCGACGGCGGUGUUUGGCACCUCGAUGUCGGCUCAUCACAUCCUGGGGCUGAAGUAGGUCCCAAGGGUAUGGCUGUUCGCCAUUUAAAGUGGUACGCGAGCUGGGUUUAGAACGUCGUGAGACAGUUCGGUCCCUAUCUGCCGUGGGCGCUGGAGAACUGAGGGGGGCUGCUCCUAGUACGAGAGGACCGGAGUGGACGCAUCACUGGUGUUCGGGUUGUCAUGCCAAUGGCACUGCCCGGUAGCUAAAUGCGGAAGAGAUAAGUGCUGAAAGCAUCUAAGCACGAAACUUGCCCCGAGAUGAGUUCUCCCUGACUCCUUGA
rnacentral:rRNA from 1 species